GAUGAACGCUGGCGGCGUGCCUAAUACAUGCAAGUCGAACGAAAAGACGAGGUCCUUCCUCCUCUGACGUUAGCCGCGGACGGGUGAGUUACACGUGGAUAACUUACGUAUAAGACUGGGGUCACUUCCGGCAACUAGUGCUACUACCGACUAAUACAUUAAACCGCUUGGUUCAAUAGUGAAAGCCGGCUUUGCUGUCACCAACUGAUUGAUUAGCGCCGCAUUAGCUAGUUGGUAAGGUAACGGCUUACCAAGUCGACGAUGCGUAGCCGACCUGAGAGGAUGAUCAGCCACACGGGAACUGAGACACGGUCCAGACUCCUACGGGAGGCAGCAGUAGGGAAUCUUCGGCAAUGGGCGAAAGCCUGAUGGAGCAACGCCGCGUGAGUGAUGAAGGUCUUCGGAUCGUAAACCACUGUUAUCAGGGAAGAACAAAUUUGUAAGAAUCUGGGCGCGUCUUGACGGUACCUAAAGAGAAAGCAACGGCUAACUACGUG
rnacentral:rRNA from 1 species